CACCGCGGUAAUUCCAGCUCCAAUAGCGUAUAUUAAAGUUGUUGCAGUUAAAAAGCUCGUAGUUGAAUUUCGGGAUUGGCGCAUCGGUCGUGCCUCACGGGGUAUGAACUGGUGCAGUCAAUUUCUCACCUUCUGGAGAACCGCGAUGUCCUUAAUUGGAUGCCGCGGGGAACCAGGACCUUUACUUUGAAAAAAUUAGAGUGUUUAAAGCAGGCAUUUUUGCUUGAAUACAUUAGCAUGGAAUAAUAAAAUAGGACGGCAUGGUUCUAUUUUGUUGGUUUCUAGGACCACCGUAAUGAUUAAUAGGGAUAGUUGGGGGCAUUAGUAUUCAAUUGUCAGAGGUGAAAUUCUUGGAUUUAUUGAAGACUAACUACUGCGAAAGCAUUUGCCAAGGAUGUUUUCAUUAAUCAAGAACGAAAGUUAGGGGAUCGAAGACGAUCAGAUACCGUCGUAGUCUUAACCAUAAACUAUGCCGACUAGGAAUCAGACGAUGUUAAUUUUUUAAUGACUCGUUUGGCACCUUACG
rnacentral:misc_RNA from 1 species